AUGCAGCUGCUAAGAUCAAUCAUUUCUAGUUCUCUUGGCUACUUAGAAGUUUUGAAAUAUUCAGAAAUCCAAGUUCCUUACCGUUGUCAACACACAACACAGUCUGGAAGAGCAUUUUUAAGCUUCUGCGAAGUAUGGAUGAAAAGGACUACUUUCUUCUCUGCUGAGAGAACAAACCAGACUUAUGGGGCCGCCUUGCUCCUUUCCCAAGACUUCUUUUGGAUUUAAAAGUUGUGCAACAACCAGCAGUUUGGCCAAUGAAGCUUUGACCUCACGUGUGACCAUAGUUAUGAAAUAAUUUCACCUGUUGAAUUGCUUCAGCUAAAAGCAACCCUGACUUGUAAAGGGGCUAGAUAAGGUGGCAGGAUGGGCCCAGUCCCUGCAUCAGGGAAUGUCUAGAUCAGAAACUUACAACAGAGACCUCCAAUUUCAUGUUUGAGGAAUGCUGGAAUUUAGGAUGGUGACUUUAAAACCAAACAAAAGAACACAAGCCUUGCUCCUGUGCCCCUGCUAGCAGCCCAGCAUUCAGAAAUGAAAGCAGUGCAACUAUAAAAAGCAAGAAGAAUUGGCAGAAAAUUACCUGCAUGCCUCACUUGUUCAUAAGUGUAUAGGAAUAAGGGAGGGAGAAGAAAUUAGCAACUUAACUAGUGUAAUUGUCUGAUAUUCAGUGUCCCAAAGUACUAAUCCUUGAGAUUGUUUAAUUGUUUGAAAACAUAUUUAUAGGACUUGGCACAGAAUUAAGUCCUUUUGGAAUAUUUGUAGUACCCAAUAUAUGUUGAAUGAGGAAAAGUUUUCCUAAGCUGAAAUUGCAUGGCACAUCUGGUUCUCCAGAUCAUCUCCUCUGCUAAGAUUCUGUCAUCCAGUUGUGCCAGAGGAUUUUGAGAGCAUCACAGUAACCAUGCACAACAAUUCCAAGAAAACAAUGCAACCCACUGUUUAACAUUAACUAUUUGAAAUAUUUUGUAAUACAUUUGUAAGGCUGCUGUCUGUUUUCAAAAUCUGUUCACAGGCUAUCUGAGAACUCCGAAACAGUGCUUGCUAAAACUAGGUCCCAAAUAUUAUAAUCCCCAGCUGGCAGGACCAAUGGUUAGGGAUCCUGCAACUUGUACUCUAAAAAUAUCUGGGACUCAAGUUGGAAGACCAGUUCUCUAGGACAGUGGUUCCUAACCUUGGGUAACCCAGAUGCUCUUGGAGUGCAGCUCUCAGAAACCACAGCUGGAACAGCUAGUGGUGAAGGUUGGUAGUUCAAGAACACCUGAUUUACCCAAGGUUCUGGGUCACUCCUCUGGGACAUAUGAACCUGCCUCAUGCCUACAGCAUGUCAGAUCAAGGCUUGGAAAGCCUUUUCUGCUUUUAAAGUCUUUCCAUUGUUGCAUUGCUUGAAGAACAAUACAUUACAGUGCUGUGAAAGUAACUUCUUAUAUGUUAUUUGUACUGUUUCUUAUUUUUCAUUACUUGGAGAAAAAAACUAUAAUCGAGAAGUGACUGGGGAAAAAUUCUUGUUUUGUUUUUAGAAACAGUUUGGAACUUCUAAAAAUGUCAUAAUAUGCUUUCCAAAUUAACUUUUGAAACUAAUGUUAAAUUGUUAUUUGUUCUCCCAAUAAAGUAAAUACUUUUUGUAGCUUCUUAGCUUCU
ensembl:lncRNA